GGACUACCGGGGUAUCUAAUCCUGUUUGCUACCCACGCUUUCGCUCCUCAGCGUCAGUUCCGGCCCAGAGCGCCGCCUUCGCCGCUGGUGUUCCUCCUGAUAUCUGCGCAUUUCACCGCUACACCAGGAAUUCCACGCUCCCCUACCGGACUCUAGCCACAGCAGUAUCAGGUGGCGUCUCCAGGUUGAGCCUGGAGGUUUCACACCCGACUUACUGAGCCGCCUACGAGCUCUUUACGCCCAAUAAAUCCGGACAACGCUCGCCCCCUACGUGUUACCGCGGCUGCUGGCAC
rnacentral:rRNA from 1 species